rnacentral:rRNA from 1 species
UACGGAGGGAGCUAGCGUUGUUCGGAAUUACUGGGCGUAAAGCGCACGUAGGCGGCUUUGUAAGUUAGAGGUGAAAGCCUGGAGCUCAACUCCAGAACUGCCUUUAAGACUGCAUCGCUUGAAUCCAGGAGAGGUGAGUGGAAUUCCGAGUGUAGAGGUGAAAUUCGUAGAUAUUCGCAAGAACACCAGUGGCGAAGGCGGCUCACUGGCCCGAUACUGACGCUGAGGCACGAAAGCGUGGGGAGCAAACAGGG